GACGAACGCUGGCGGCGUGCUUAACACAUGCAAGUCGAACGGAAAGGCCCUGCUUUUGUGGGGUGCUCGAGUGGCGAACGGGUGAGUAACACGUGAGUAACCUGCCCUUGACUUUGGGAUAACUUCAGGAAACUGGGGCUAAUACCGGAUAGGAGCUCCUGCUGCAUGGUGGGGGUUGGAAAGUUUCGGCGGUUGGGGCUGGACUCGCGGCUUAUCAGCUUGCUGGUGGGGUAGUGGCUUACCAAGGGUUUGACGGGUAGCCGGCCUGGGAGGGUGACCGGCCACAUUGGGACUAAGAUACGGCCCAGAGUCGUAUGUGAGGCAGCAGUGGGAAAUAUUGCACAGUGAGCGGAAGCCUGAUGAAGCGACGCCGCGUGCGGGAUGACGGCCUUCGGGUUGUAAACCGCUUUAGCCUGUGACGAAGCGUGAGUGACGGUAAUGGGUAAAGAAGCACCGGCUAACUACGUG
rnacentral:rRNA from 1 species